UAAGUGCCCUGGAACGGGACGUCAUAGAGGGUGAGAAUCCCGUAUGGGAUGGGGUGUCCGCGCCCGUGUGAAGCUCCUUCGACGAGUCGAGUUGUUUGGGAAUGCAGCUCUAAAUGGGUGGUAAAUUUCAUCUAAAGCUAAAUAUUGGCCGGAGACCGAUAGCGCACAAGUAGAGUGAUCGAAAGAUGAAAAGCACUUUGAAAAGAGAGUUAAAAAGCACGUGAAAUUGUUGAAAGGGAAGCGCUUGCGACCAGACUCGCUCGCGGGGUUCAGCCGGCAUUCGUGCCGGUGUAUUUCCCCGCGGGCGGGCCAGCGUCGGUUUGGGCGGUCGGUCAAAGGCCCUCGGAAGGUAACGCCCCUAGGGGCGUCUUAUAGCCGAGGGUGCAAUGCGACCUGCCUAGACCGAGGAACGCGCUUCGGCUCGGACGCUGGCAUAAUGGUCGUAAGCGACCC
rnacentral:rRNA from 1 species